rnacentral:rRNA from 1 species
UACGAGGGGUCCAAGCGUUGUUCGGAAUCAUUGGGCGUAAAGCGGGUGUAGGUGGCUCUAUAAGUCAGGAGUGAAAGCCCCGAGCUUAACUCGGGAAGUGCUUUUGAUACUGUAGAGCUUGAGUGUGGGAGAGGAUCGUGGAAUUCCUGGUGUAGCGGUGAAAUGCGCAGAUAUCAGGAGGAACACCGGUGGCGAAGGCGGGUCUCUGGGCCGGUACCGACGCUGAGGAGCGAAAGCGUGGGGAGCAAACAGG